GGUCUGGUAGUAUUGUGCAGGCUGCCAGGCACAGUAUAGUGAGGAGGGGGCCUGGCAAAUGCCAUCUAUAGUUUACAGCGGCUCCUCUCUCCAACUCUGGCGAGCCUGGCAUGCGUGCCACGCGGAGCAUUAAACACGGUAACCUGCGGCAACUCUCUGAUGGGCCAGGGUCUGUUGGAAACGGAGUAUGGCGUUUGCUGGGCCCCCUGUUCACUAUGCAGGCAGCCGGGGAUGUGCACAUUGAGAAUUCACAGUCUGGGCCCCCCAGGACCAUUCAUGGUCAUUGUUGUCACGCCCUGAUGGCGGCCUAUAAUCCAUCUCUGAUGCUCUCCAUAACCCUACUCACACUCCUACACAUAAUCCAAGUCCUAAACCCACCUCCCAAG